rnacentral:rRNA from 1 species
GGAGGGUGCAAGCGUUAUCCGGAAUUAUUGGGUUUAAAGGGUUGCGUAGGCGGGAUGAUAAGUCAGUGGUGAAAUCUUACAGCUUAACUGUAAAACUGCCAUUGAUACUAUCGUUCUUGAAUACAAUUGAAGUGGGCGGAAUGUGUCAUGUAGCGGUGAAAUGCUUAGAUAUGACACAGAACACCUAUUGCGAAGGCAGCUCACUAAGUUUGUUAUUGACGCUGAGGCACGAAAGCGUGGGGAGCGAACAGGAUUAGAUACCCUGGUAGUCCACGCCCGUAAACGAUGAUUACUCGGUAUUGGCGAUACACUGUCAGUACCCAAGCGAAAGUUUUUAAGUAAUCCCACCUGGGAAGUACGUCGGCAACGAUGA